UCCGUAUCUGUAAGGGCAAUGCACAAAUAAAUGCAGAGCUAUUUGUAUCUAUAAAGGUGUAUCUGUGUCCAUGACUCUUAUUUGUAACUCAUAUUUCAUCAUUUGUAAAAAUGUAAAUAUACGUGUAAAUCUCCUUCUACGUGUGUGGGUACUUUUGAGACUGUUUUUCCGCGCCGUUUGUGGCCAGAAGAUAUUCGUAACUCAGGUGAUGAUCCCAGCACUCUCCACUAGAUGGCGGUGUUAAGUGACGAUCCCAGCACUCUCCACUAGAUGGCGGUGUUAAGUGAUGAUCCCAGCACUCUCCACUAGAUGUUAAGUGACGAUCCCAGCACUCUCCACUAGAUGGCGGUGUUAAGUGACGAUCCCAGCACUCUCCACUAGAUGGCGGUGUUAAGUGACGAUCCCAGCACUCUCCACUAGAUGGUCGUGUUAAGUGACGAUCCCAGCACUCUCCACUAGAUGGCGGUGUUAAGUGAUGAUCCCAGCACUCUCCACUAGAUGGCGGUGUUAAGUGAUGAUCCCAGCACUCUCCACUAGAUGGUCGUGUUAAGUGACGAUCCCAGCACUCUCCACUAGAUGGCGGUGUUAAGUGACGAUCCCAGCACUCUCCACUAGAUGGCGGUGUUAAGUGACGAUCCCAGCACUCUCCACUAGAUGGUGGUGUUAAGUGACGAUCCCAGCACUCUCCACUAGAUGGUCGUGUUAAGUGACGAUCCCAGCACUCUCCAGUAGAUGGUCGUGUUAAGUGACGAUCCCAGCACUCUCCAGUAGAUGGUCGUGUUAAGUGACGAUCCCAGCACUCUCCAGUAGAUGGUCGUGUUAAGUGAUGAUCCCAGCACUCUCCACUAGAUGGUCGUGUUAAGUGAUGAUCCCAGCACUCUCCACUAGAUGGCGGUGUUAAGUGAUGAUCCCAGCACUCUCCAGUAGAUGGCAGUAAUGCAACACUUAUGGAUGCCAACUGCUGUUAAACCACAUGAAGAAGCCUUGUUAAAUGUUUCAGAGAGACGGUUGGCACCAUAGACAUAAUAGAAUCUACUUGAUGUUCCUCCAGAUCUGACUGAUCAGAUGCUGACCUGGACACCUGUUUGAUGAGGUUUACCUGGACCCACAAGACUCUCCUCACAGUAUAAAGGUAUUGUGGGACAGGUGCCAUAAUUCUUCUGCCAAGUGAUGAUGGUCUGAAGACAACACAGCAGCAUCAGGACAGAUUCAGUAUCCACAGGAUGACUUCUGUGACCUGAGAGCCUACAUUACCAGCUGACACAUCCUCAGUAGAAAAUAAACCCUUUAGUCUGGGUGAGGACAUGAUCUGGACUGUUAUCUGCUACUCUGUGCAUUAUGUAUACACACUUUAUAUUUACAUUUCAUUGACUAUGAAUAAAGUGCUUUAUUUCUA